AAAUACAGGCAUUAAAUUACAAUAUUGAAAACCAUACUUAUAAUCUGUAGAUUCAUAAAAUUCAUAAUUCUCAUAGCAAAUAUCCAUCAAAUGAAACUCAAAUGUAAUUUAGCCAUCCUAAUUAAGUGCCAAGACUAAAUUGUCCGUGAUCUAGAGUCCAGUCAAGCUAAUUCUUUGGAUCCUGCAAUCAAGAAAUCAAAAAAAUAGUUCUAGUUAAAGAGUUCAACAUAACAUACGACAUACAAUUAUUCUAGCCCCAUUGUUAAAAAAACUGUCGCCAAACUAAAUGGAGUAAUAUUAUGUCAGCAAGCAUGUAAAAGGGAUCAAAACAAUUUUACAACUGUAAAUGUCAAAAGCGUAAGCACAAGUAGAUGUACUAAAAGCUUCCGCUAUUGAUUUAAGUUGUGACACGAUCUAUAGUUUCAGUUAAGUUCAUGUCCCUAGCUAGCACAUAUUCAUUUUUUUAAGCUGUGACUCGAUGCAGCAACAACACAUGGUGAAAGAGAAGAAGCAGCUAGCUAAUUAUGAAGGCCAAUGGUGUAUAAAAUGGUAGGGUCAAUGUCUGACCACGUCCUCACUUCAAUGAGCAGUGUUGAAGGUUUAGCAAUUUAACCCAUACCAGGAUUUUAUGCAUUAUAGCAAAUGCUAGAGAUAGCUUAAGUGACAUAAACAAUUUACCAGAUAUGGGUUGGGUUAUCCAUAUUGGUUUGUGUAUGUUGUUAUACUUUCCAUCCUAGUUAAGAUAACAGAGCCUUUUCUUCCUGCACACAAAAUCAAUUAAGGGACUUAGCAUUAACAAAGCAUUGAUGUUGUGCACCAUUCAGAUAGGUGAUUAUGAAGUAAGGAUGUUGUGUACUAGGAGCAUCCUCCGUAGAAUUCAUAAUGUGCCCUUGUGUAGAUAAUAUCAGAAUUUGAGUCAAUUUAAGAAGAAACGCAAUACGUAAAGCAGGCAUAAAAUCAAAUCAGUUUUAUAAAAAAAUGAUAAAAACUAUGUUGGGAAUGUGGACCGAAAUAACUACAAGGCCCCAUCUCACACACGUCUCCUCCUCUCUUCUCUCUGUUUUCUUUCUCUUCUCGAGCAGAUCCAUUUAUCUACCCAUGAUCCGAUCACACUACCAAAGGUACUGAUUGUACCACACUGGGUCAAAUCCUUCUCACUUUUCUCUCAAGUUUCUCACAUCUCUCCUCUGCUUCAUUGAGUCCAAUUGUUUUGGAUGAACCGUUCUUCAGUUAACCUCCAUAGUACACAGUUUGUUUCUAUGGAAGCCGGGCCAAUAAUUAAUACCUUUUGUUUUGAUUUAAAAUUAUCCAGACGAAUAUGCAGAACAGAAUCAUACAUGCACAUAUUAACAGAAAAUACAUCUAGAUGGAACUUUAUCUGAAUCCUCACGACACGGACUUCAAUUCAGCCUAGGCAAUGUAACGAAAACUAGAGAGAGUUGCCGGUCCAGGUGCCAGGAACUUGGAGGUUAAUACAAGUUGCAGCCUAAUUGGCUACUAAUUGAAGCAGGAGUAGGGAAUACAAAAAAAAACGACUGAUCUACAGCGCUUGCUAUGGAGGAUCAGGGAUGUGGCUUGGUGAUGAACCUGGUCGCAGCGCUCCACCUCCGGGCCGGCCAUGUGGCGAGCAACCCCGACGUAGGCAGGCCGGCACUGCGCUUGCGAUGUAGGGGAGAAGACGGG
rnacentral:lncRNA from 1 species